UACGAAGGGGGCUAGCGUUGCUCGGAAUCACUGGGCGUAAAGCGCACGUAGGCGGAUUGCUAAGUCAGGGGUGAAAUCCAGGAGCUCAACUCCAGAACUGCCUUUGAUACUGGCGACCUUGAGUCCGGGAGAGGUGAGUGGAACUGCGAGUGUAGAGGUGAAAUUCGUAGAUAUUCGCAAGAACACCAGUGGCGAAGGCGGCUCACUGGCCCGAUACUGACGCUGAGGCACGAAAGCGUGGGGAGCAAACAGG
rnacentral:rRNA from 1 species